AAAAAUGGAAACAUGGUGCAGGAUGGCUCCGCGUCUGAUUAGCUGGUUGGCGGGGUAACGGCCCACCAAGGCGACGAUCAGUAGCCGGCCUGAGAGGGUGACCGGCCACAUUGGGACUGAGACACGGCCCAAACUCCUACGGGAGGCAGCAGUGGGGAAUAUUGGACAAUGGGGGAAACCCUGAUCCAGCGACGCCGCGUGAGUGAAGAAGUAUUUCGGUAUGUAAAGCUCUAUCAGCAGGGAAGAAGAAAUGACGGUACCUGACUAAGAAGCCCCGGCUAACUACGUGCCAGCAGCCGCGGUAAUACGUAGGGGGCAAGCGUUAUCCGGAUUUACUGGGUGUAAAGGGAGCGUAGACGGUAAGGCAAGUCAGAUGUGAAAGCCCGGGGCUCAACCGCGGGACUGCAUUUGAAACUGUCCUACUGGAGUGCAGGAGAGGUAAGUGGAAUUCCUAGUGUAGCGGUGAAAUGCGUAGAUAUUAGGAGGAACACCAGUGGCGAAGGCGGCUUACUGGACUGUAACUGACGUUGAGGCUCGAAAGCGUGGGGAGCAAACAGGAUUAGAUACCCUGGUAGUCCACGCCGUAAACGAUGAUUACUAAGUGUCGGGGGUUAAUGAACCUCCG
rnacentral:rRNA from 1 species